GAGCUUCUUACAUAAUACUGCAGCUCCGGUACCUUGGGUCACAAAAGCUUUUAAAAGAAGGAGAAAAAUGGAAAAGCUCUGCAGCAAGGGUUGAUUCUGCUGGUGCUCUGCGACAAACCUCCUGCGUGAGAAUCUCAGUUUGCUUCCCUGGGGAAUCCAUCCUGACACAGACCUUGAUGCACCACUGACUGUGAGAAAAUGAGCACAUUUGGGUUGGGAAGACCUUUAGAAGAAAACACACAGAAUGAUACCAUUUUUAUAAUAUUUUAAAACACACAAACACAUGUGCACUGUUUGCAAAUGUAUAAAUAAAGGUGGAGGAAUGAUAAACACCAAUUUCAGAAGAGUAUUUGCCUUUUCGGUCUGGGGCAGUUGAGAGGAAGCUAAACAGGGUCCAGGCACAGCACAC
rnacentral:lncRNA from 1 species